rnacentral:rRNA from 1 species
UAAGACGAACCGUGCGAACGUUGUUCGGAAUCACUGGGCUUAAAGGGCGCGUAGGCGGCUUGUCAAGUCAGGGGUGAAAUCCGGCAGCUUAACUGUCGAAGUGCCUUUGAUACUGACGAGCUCGAGGGAGGUAGGGGUCUGUGGAACUUCUGGUGGAGCGGUGAAAUGCGUUGAUAUCAGAAGGAACGCCGGUGGCGAAAGCGACGGACUGGACCUCUUCUGACGCUGAGGCGCGAAAGCUAGGGGAGCAAACGGGAUUAGAUACCCCGGUAGUCCUAGCCCUAAACGUUGGGUACUAGAUAGUAGACUUUCAUGGGUUUACUGUCGAAGCAAAAGUGUUAAGUACCCCGCCUGGGGAGUAUGGUCGCAAGGCUG